GGGGAUGUGGCUCUGUGCUAGAGUGCUUGUCUAGCAUACGAGAGGCCCUGGGUUCAAUCCCCAGCAAGGCCA
rfam:Ictidomys tridecemlineatus contig118952, whole genome shotgun sequence.